GGCUCCGUUGUCUAGAGGCCUAGGACGCCGCCCUCUCAAGGCGAAAACACGGGUUCGAAUCCCGUCGGGGCUGCCA
rnacentral:tRNA from 1 species